CCUACGGGUGGCAGCAGUGAGGAAUAUUGGUCAAUGGGCGCAAGCCUGAACCAGCCAAGUCGCGUGAGGGAUGACGGUCCUAUGGAUUGUAAACCUCUUUUGUCGGGGAGCAAGGCCCGCCACGUGUGGCGGGUAGGAGAGUCCCCGAAGAAAAAGCAUCGGCUAACCCCGUGCCAGCAGCCGCGGUAAUACGGAGGAUGCGAGCGUGUUCCGGAUUUAUGGGGUUUAAAGGGUGCGUAGGCGGAAGGUUAAGUCAGCGGUAAAAUGGCGGUGCUCAACACCGGCCUGCCGUUGAACCUGGUCUUCUUGAGUGAGCGAGAAGUAUGCGGAAUGCGUGGUGUAGCGGUGAAAUGCAUAGAUAUCACGCAGAACUCCGAUUGCGAAGGCAGCAUACCGGCGCUCAACUGACGCUGAGGCACGAAAGCGUGGGGAUCGAACAGGAUUAGAUACCCGUGUAGUC
rnacentral:rRNA from 1 species